rnacentral:rRNA from 1 species
UAAUACCUGCAGCCCGAGUGGUGAUCGUUAUUAUUGGGUCUAAAACGUCCGUAGCUGGUCUGGUAAAUUCCUGGGUAAAUCGAACUGCCUAACAGUUCGAAUUCUGGGGAGACUGUCAGACUUGGGACCGGGAGGAGUCAGAAGUACUUUCGGGGUAGGAGUAAAAUCCUGUAAUCCUGAAAGGACUAUCAGUGGCGAAGGCGUCUGACCAGAACGGAUCCGACAGUAAGGGACGAAGCCCUGGGGCGCAAACGGGAUUAGAUACCCCGGUAGUCCAGGGUGUAAACGCUGUAGGCUUGGUGUUGGGGGUUCUAUGAGGAUACCCAGUGCCGGAGAGAAGUUGUUAAGCCUACUACCUGGGGAGUACGGUCGCAAGACUG